UGUUUGUUUAUGCCUGCAGGGGAUGAUGGGAAGUAAGGUAUCAUAUUGUAAAUACUCGUUACAAUAGUAACGCGUUACUAAUUACAAAUUACUUUUUGAGUAAUUUUGAUGGUAAUUAAUUACUUUCUUUACUGGAGUCAUUUGUAACGUAAUUAAUUACUUUUUGAAGGUAACGAGUAAAGUUUUCUUAAGUAACGUGAGUUACUUUUCAAUUUUACUUCCGAAUCUCUCAUAACAUUCAUUGCACAUAAUCUAAAAAGUAGUAAAACGUUUUUCUAGUCCUACCUGCCUAAGGUUGUCUUAAGAACUAGUGGAACGAAUACGAUGUUAUUUAUAUCAUGUUUACAAAAUUGAAACAUUUUUUAAAUGAGCCUGCAAUAUGUGAAAUGUGCGGCCGAGCUUUCACCAUUAGUACAUUACUUCAUGUAUUGAUAGGGUUAAUCACGGGGGUUAUAAUUUUACUCGAAAGAAGCGGUAAGCAAGAUUUAAUCAUUAAAUAUGGAUGAACUUAGUAUGUCACUAUGUGUAGAAGUAAAAUGAAAAGUAAUUUUGAAAGUAAUUGGUAAUUAAUUACUUUUCAAAAAGUAAUUAGUACGUGG
rnacentral:lncRNA from 1 species